UCCUACGGGGCGCAGCAGUGAGGAAUAUUGGUCAAUGGCCGGAAGGCUGAACCAGCCAAGCCGCGUGAAGGACGAAGGUGCCAAGCAUUGUAAACUUCUUUUGUCAAGGGACAAAAUCAGGCUCGAGAGCCUGACCGAGGGUACUUGAAGAAAAAGCAUCGGCUAACUCCGUGCCAGCAGCCGCGGUAAUACGGAGGAUGCGAGCGUUAUCCGGAUUUAUUGGGUUUAAAGGGUGCGUAGGCGGGAUGCCAAGUCAGCGGUAAAAAUGCGGUGCUCAACGCCGUCGAGCCGUUGAAACUGGCGUU
rnacentral:rRNA from 1 species